rnacentral:tRNA from 1 species
AAGGGAGACCUAAUUCGGGUAUGGGAUGAAAAAAAAGUAGUCCCAACCAAGAAUCAAUCCCAAAAGGUCGGAGCGAGGCGAAAUUGGCUUUCAAACUAGGUUCUGGGUUCGCAGAAGACCUGAAUCAGGAACAAGGGCUAUUAGCUCAGGUGGUUAGAGCGCACCCCUGAUAAGGGUGAGGUCCCUGGUUCGAGUCCAGGAUGGCCCACCUGCACAGGUGGUAAAAACAAGAGAAGCGAGGAAUCAGCACCUUAUCUUACUUACAUAGUAAGAGAGAAUGCUGGCUCUGAGUAAAGAGUCCAGAGGAACCUUGAAAACUGCAUAGAGCUAGGUGAAAAAGCCAAAAAAGAAGACCGCAA